GCUAUCAGUAAUAGGUGCUGCUUUACUGUACAAUAAUUUUGUUAUACAAAACAGUCUUCAAAGCAAGAUUAUUCUUUAUAAUAAAAAUGCACCUUUCUAGGAAUAUAUAAUGGAACAUAAUAAAAGGGGACCAGUUGAGUCACAACAAGAGGCAUUAAGAGCUAUGAGAAUGGGGACAAGUGUUGUUGCACAUCCUGAAGGAGAUGUCAGUGCUUGCUGACAUUUGAAUGUUGAAAGCUGUAACCACUGUGAGGAAACCAGAAACAUACCACGAGUGAAAAGAAAUAAGACAAUGUCAUAGAUGCACAGCAACCACUGAGUCAGCAGGAAGAGAGCACAUACAGUAAUUUUAACCGAAUCCACAAGGUUUAAAGAUUCUAUAACCAAUGAGCAUCGAUUACCUGAUGCUGGAACAUUAAGACUGGGGAACCAUAGGCCAACAGGCUUCCCGUGAGCCUGAACUCCUCGUGGAAACCUGGAACUGAGGCCUGACCAAUGCCAGAACAAGACCUAACCCCACAGUGACCCGACAGCAAAGAGGCCUGAUGAGACCAAUUGUAAGACCCUUUGGAGUGCUUGUGAUCAAGACUAGUGCCCAGGACCCCACCGAACACCUUGCCAAUACUGGGACUACAAAUCCAGAGGCCUUCCUACUUCCCACAGGCCCAACCUCAUUGAAACCCAGAACCGAGGCCUGACCAGUGCUGGAACAAGGAACAUGGUGACCUGACAUUGAGGAGGCCUAACUGAACCAGCCACAAGAUUCCCCGUAAUGUUCAAGACUGCAACAGGUAGUCAAGACCCCAUUGGGAGCACACAUGUUUGGAGCAGUAGACCUCACUCACCGAUGUUGGGGAUCAAGUAGGAGCAGCUACCUCCCAGGAAACAUGGGAGAUGUGCUGGACUUCAGGUGAGACUGAAACUCCCCUCAAGUCCCCCUCUCCCCAGCCUACUCUCCCCUCCCCCAACCUUACCCCAGUUCCAACCUUCCA